GAAUACAACAAUAAGACGAGAAGACCCUAUGGAGCUUUAAUUAACCGACCCAAAGAGACCCAUUAAUUUCAACCGACAGGAACAACAAACCUCUGUAUGGGCCGACAAUUUAGGUUGGGGUGACCUCGGAGAACAGAACAACCUCCGAGUGAUUUAAAUCAAGACUAACCAGUCGAAAGUAUUACAUCACUUAUUGAUCCAAAAGUUUGAUCAACGGAACAAGUUACCC
rnacentral:rRNA from 1 species